CCCGCAUUUUAUGAUUCCCACAACUAUUCCUCCUACAAAAACUAUUAAAAAGUUACUAAUAAUCAAUCCCAAAUAGAAGCACCUUUUCCUCUCCUCAUAUUGAGAGACUGUCGUUUGAUAAUGAUCCAGCUAAUUGAUUUUAUUUCUUAAUUCACCUAUAUACCUAUUUUUUCUAGUUCUUCUUCCCUUUUUUUUUUUUUUAUUAUUAUAGUUGAGGGCUGGUAUGAUGUCCAUUGCUGAUGGUGGUUCUUUAAUCUAAGCUGCUGAUUUUUUGUUCAAUCUUUUUUUCUGAAUUAAUUUUUAUAGUGGUGGUGAAGCCACCAUCGCCGUUUCAUUUGUGAAAAUAGUGUUUGGCAACGGUGCUGUAGAUAAGGACGAUAGGGGUGGAGUGGUUGCUAACUCCUAACGGAAUAGGUGGUUG
rnacentral:lncRNA from 1 species